AACGAACGCUGGCGGCAGGCCUAACACAUGCAAGUCGAGCGCCCAGCAAUGGGAGCGGCGGACGGGUGAGUAACACGUGGGAAUUUUCCUCAAGGUACGGAACAACUCAGGGGAACUUGGGCUAAUACCGUAUGAUGCAGAGAUGCCAAAGAUUUAUCGCCUUGGGAUAAGCCCGCGUCAGAUUAGGUAGUUGGUGAGGUAACGGCUCACCAAGCCUGUGAUCUGUAGCUGGUCUGAGAGGACGAUCAGCCACAUUGGGACUGAGACACGGCCCAAACUCCUACGGGAGACAGCAGUGGGGAAUCUUGCGCAAUGGGCGAAAGCCUGACGCAGCCAUGCCGCGUGAAUGAUGAAGGUCUUAGGAUUGUAAAGUUCUUUCGCUCGUGACGAUGAUGACGGUAACGAGAGAAGAAGCCCCGGCUAACUUCGUGCCAGCCGCCGCCGUAAUAC
rnacentral:rRNA from 1 species